UGCUAAUAUUUCUGUACAACAUCUAAUUAUGUUUCCAUGUGAUAACAGUAGCCUAAUAUAUUCAAUAUGCUGCAAACUAUUGGUUUAUUAAAACAGUUUCACUCGAUUCAUUCUAAUCAACCUAAUAGUGAUGACACGCCCCUCGCUGUUGUCAUUGGUUGCUCUAAUAGUGAUGACACGCCCCUCGCUGUUGUCAUUGGUUGCUCUAAUAGUGAUGACACGCCCCUCACUGUUGUCAUUGGUUGCUCUAAUACUGACAUACCCCUCACUGUUGUCAUUGGUUGCUCUAAUAGUUAUGACACGCCCCUCACUGUUGUCAUUGGUUGCUCUAAUACUAAUGACAUACUCCUCACUGUUGUCAUUGGUUGCUCUAAUACUAAUGACAUACUCCUCACUGUUGUCAUUGGUUGCUCUAAUACUAAUGACAUGCCCCUCACUGUUGUCAUUGGUUGCUGUAAUACUAAUGACAUACCCCCUCUGUUGUCAUUGGUUGCUGUAAUACUAAUGACAUACCCCCCACUGUUGUCAUUGGUUGCUCUAAUACUAAUGACAUGCCCCUCACUGUUGUCAUUGGUUGCUCUAAUACUAAUGACAUGCCCCUCACUGUUGUCAUUGGUUGCUCUAAUUUCCUUGUUUGUCAACAUAACCUGGUUCCAGCAUUCAUGACAUCACCCUGAAGAAGAAAAAGUGAUGCUGAAAUGUUGCUGUUGCUGGAUUAAAUACAUUAUUUUCCUCAUCAAUUCUACACACAAAAACCCAUAAUGACAAAGUGAAAACAGAAAUGCUUGCAAAUGUAUUAAAAAAAACAGAUACCUUAUUUACAUAAAUAUUCAGACCCUUUGCUAUGACACUCAACAUUGAGCUCAGGUGCAUCUUGUUUCCAUUGAUCAUCCUUGAGAUGUUUCAACAACUUGAUUGAAGCCCAGCUGUGGUAAAUUCAAAUAGAUGGACAUGAUUUGGAAAGAUACACACCCGUCUAUAUAAGGUCCCACAGUUGACAGUGCGUGUCAGAGCAAAAACCAAGCCAUGAGGUCAAAGGAAGUGUCUGUAGAGCUCAGAGACAGGAUUGUGUCGAGGCACAGAUCUGGGGAAGGGUACCAAAAUAAUUAUUGAACGGAGGAAGUUUGGAACCACCAAGGCUUUUCCUAGAACUGUCCGCCUGGCUAAACUGAGCCAAUGGGGGAGAAGGGUGUUGGUCAGGGAGGUGACCAAGAACCAGAUGGUCACUCAAAGAGCUCCAGAGUUCCUCUGUGGAGAUGGGAGAACCUUCAAGAAGGACAACCAUCUCUGCAGCACUCCACCAAUCUGGCCUUUAUGGUAGAGUGGUCAGACGGAAGCCACUCCUCAGUGAAAGGCACAUGACAGCCCGCUUGGAGUUUGCCUAAAUGCACCUAAAGGACUCUCAGACCAUGAGAAACUAGAUUCUCUGGUCUGAUGAAACCAAGAUUGAACUCUUUGGCCUGAAUGCCAAGCGUCACAUCUGGAGGAAACCUGGCACCAUCCCUACUACGGUGAAGCAUAGUGGUGGCAGCAUUAUGCAGUGGGGAUGUUUUUCAGCAGCAGGGACUGUUCCACAUUGACUUGGUAUUUUACCAAAUAGGGCUAUCUUCUGUAUACCACCCCUACCUUGUCACAACACAACUGAUGGGCUCAAACUAAAUAACAAAUUAACUUUUAACAAGGCACACUUGUUAAUUGAAAUGCAUUCCAGGUGACUACCUCAUGAAGCUGGUUGAGAGAAUGCCAAGAGUGUGCAAAGCUGUCAUCAAGGUAAAGGGUGGCUACUUUGAAGAAUCUCAAAUAUAAAAUAUAUUUUGACUUGUUUAACACUUUUUUUUGGUUACUACAUGAUUCCAUAUGUGUUAUUUCAUAGUUUUGAUGUCUUCACUAUUAUUCUACAAUGUAGAACAUAGUAAAAAUUAAGAAAAACCCUUCAAUGAGUAGGUGUGUCCAAAUUUUUGACUGGUGCUAUAUAUAUGUUUAUGAGUGGGAGACUAUUUUAAUAACCGGUAAGUCGUAUGCAAAUCAUAUAUUAUUGGUGUUUUGAGUCCUCUGACAAUUCUAGCAAAAGCUUGUGUAUUCAUGGGGCUGUAGGUGAGCAGAUGGCUGUGUCAUGUCUGUCCAGGUGAGCUCUCAGCACACCAGUAGCUCCAACAUGUUAACUGAUUGGCAGAUCAUUUGACUGGAGAGUUCUCUUCCUAGCUUUUUAUAAGUGAGUUGUGAUUUGCAUCCCAAGUGGCACCCUAUUCUCUACAUAGUGCACUACUUUUGAUCAGAGUUUGCACCCUAUUCCCUAUGUAGUGCACUACUUUUGACCAGAGUGCUAUGGGAAUAGGGUGCCAUUUCAGAAGCAGACAGUGACUAACACACCUGUAAAUACCACAUGUAUGUUUGAUAGGAAGUGUGACUUCAGACUCAGAGAAGCUAAACCAGUCCUUAUCUCUCCCCUCCAGACCGAUGAGGGGGUCUUCAGGAGGUAGCAAGGAAGGGAACAGUGCACUGAGCUGGGGUAUUAGGCUCUGCAUCGCCCCCCCCCUGGGAGCAACAGACUAUGGAGAGUCUGAGACGGAUGCUUCAGUGAGAAAGCACUGGGGCUGGGUUUAAGGGUAACUACCGUCAAAUUUCCAAGUUAUCUUGCCUUUCCAAACUUUUAGAAUCCCAGGCCAACUCUCAGCUUUUAACUUGUCAUUCUCUUCUAAAUGUGCACCAGUGUGGUUUUAGACCUGGGGACGUAUGUACAGUGCAUUCAGAAAGUAUUCAGACACCUUGACUUUUUCCACAUUUUGUUACGUUACAGACUUAUUCUGAAAUGGAUUUAAAUCAUUUUUUCCCCUCAUCAAUCAACACACAAUAUCCCAUAAUGAAAGUCCCAAAAUGGGUUUUUAAAUAUUUUUGCAAAUUGUAUGAAAAACAUCACAUUUACGUCAGUAUUCACACACUUUACUCGGUACUUUGUUGAAGCACCUUUGGCAGCGAUUACAGCCUCGAGUACUCUUGGGUAUGAAGCUACAAGCUUGGCACACCUGUAUUUGGGGAGUUUCUCCCAUUCUUCUCUGCACAUCCUCAAGCUGUCAGGUUGGAUGGGGAGCGUUGCUGCACAGCUAUUAUCAGUGUCGUGUCUUUGGUUAUGCCGUAUUAAGUGAUAUGACAUGCUAUUCUAUAAAAUCAUUUCUCUGUAAUUAAUAUUACCUGAUUAAGCUAAUCAGGUAAAUUUAAUUAGCUAGAAUGUCGGGGCACCACGAAAGAAUAUUUAUAGAGCUGUUAUCUUCCGAAUAAUCUCUUAAAGACCUAGUAAUCUUUUACAUCAAUAGCAGUCAAUAUUUAAUCGUCACCUUAUUUAGUCUCAUCUGAAAGUGGUAAAUUAUUGGUUAUCUUCACGAACCCUGGCUAAGAAGUUUAAUCAGCAUUACAAAAUUUGGUUUAAUUAUGUAUUUACCAAAUACCUAAAUAAUCACACAGAGUUACAUCUCCACAGAAUGGCUCAUACAUUGAUUACAAAUUAUGUCAUAAAGGAAAACGUCCCUAGCGGACGGAACAGAUAUGACGGCUGGUUACACAAAGAAAGGGGGUUGGGUUUGUGUGAAAGAGCGGGAAGACUGAGUAACAAAGGGAGAAGCUAUCGUAAAUACAGUAUCUUAUGCAUUCUAAAUUACCAACCAUUUGAAAAAGGAAAAUGCAAUAAAUAUUCACUCUGAGCUGCGCUUCGGUAGAUUGGUCAUAGAUAGUAGGCCGGGUUGUCCUUUGAAGAAUGUCUGGUGUUAGAAAGGAUACUAGGUAGUACCGUCAUCGUGUAGUAGAAGAGACACUCUGUCCGUCCUCUCCUAGCCCACGUCUACAGUUGCUGCGCUAAAUGCAAAGGCUAGGAGGUAUCACUUCUUUAGUGAACAAGAGUUGCUGUACUUAAAACUUGUUUGGAAUAGGGGGCAGUAUUUUGACAUCCGGAUGAAAACCGUGCCCAAAGUAAACUGCCUGUUACUCAGGCCCAGAAGCUAGGAUAUGCAUGUAAUUGGUAGAUUUGGAUAGAGAACACUCUAAAGUUUCUAAAACUGUUAACAAAACAUCUGUGAGUAUAACAGAACUGAUAUGGCAGGCAAAACCCAGAGGACAAACCAUCCCAAAACAAAUGUUUUCAGCCUAACACUAUUUUCAAUGGCUGUCACUUUUAUUAUAAGGUGUAGUCCUCCCAGAUUGCAGUUCCCAGGGCUUCCACUAGAUGUCAACAGUCUGUAGAAAGAGUUUCAGACUGGGUUUUGGAAAUUGUAGUUUUUCUAGGUGGCUCCCAUUUUGGCUGUAGUGUUUCCAAGCGCGUGAAUGAGAGCGGGUUCUUUGGUAUUUUUCUCCGGUAGAGACAAUAAUUCUCCGUCUUAAAUUUUAUAGUUUAUUUAGCUAUUAGGGUACCUAAGGUUUGAUUAUAAACGUUGUUUGACUUGUUUGGAAAAGUUUAUUAGUAACGUUUGGGAUUCAUUUUGUAUGCAUUUUGAUGGAAACUGGGUGGAUUAUUGACUGAGUUUUUAUGGAUACAAAGAAGGACAUUAUCGAACAAAAGGACCAUUUGUGAUGUAACUGGGACCUUUUGGAGUGCCAACAGAAGAAGAUCAUCAUAGGGCGCUGUCCUCAGAUAAUCGCAUGGUGUGCUUUCGCCGUAAAGCCUUUUUGAAAUCUGCGGCUGGAUUAACAAGAAGUUCAGCUUUAUUCUGAUGCAUUACACUUCCCCAGAUCUGUGCAUCGACAUAUUCCUGUCUCAGAGCUCUACGGACAAUUCCUUCGACCUCAUGACUUGGUUUUUGCUCUGACAUGCAUUGUCAACUGUGGGACCUUAUAUAGACAGCUGUGUGCCUUUCCAAAUUAUAUCCAAUUCAUAAAAAUCACCACAGGUUGACUCCAAGCAAGUUGUUAAAACGUAUCAAGGAUGGAAACAGAAUGCACCUGAUCUCAAUUUCGAGGCUCAUAGAGAAGGGUGUGAAUACUAAUGUAAAUAAGGUAUUUCAGUUCAUUUGUAAUACAUUGAAAAAAAUAUGUAAAAACCUGUUUUUGCUUUGUUAUUAUGGGGUAUUGUGAUGUCAUUAUGGGGUAUUGUGAUGUCAUUAUGGGGUAUUGUGAUGUCAUUAUGGGGUAUUGUGUGUAGACUGUUUAGAACAAGGCUGUAACGUAACAUAAUGUGGAAGAAGUCAACGGAUAUGAAUACUUUCUGAAUGCCCUGUAUCAACAGAUAUGAAUGCUUUCUGAAUGCCCUGUAUCAACGGAUAUGAAUACUUUCUGAAUGCCCUGUAUCAACGGAUAUGAAUACUUUCUGAAUGCCCUGUAUCAACGGAUAUGAAUACUUUCUGAAUGCCCUGUAUCAACGGAUAUGAAUACUUUCUGAAUGCCCUGUAUCAACGGAUAUGAAUACUUUCUGAAUGCCCUGUAUCAACGGAUAUGAAUACUUUCUGAAUGCCCUGUAUCAACGGAUAUGAAUACAUUCUGAAUGCCCUGUAUCAAGCGUCUUAGAGAAGGAGUGCUGAUCUAGGAUCUGGUUUUCUCUGUCCAUGCAAUCUUAUUCAUUAUGAUAAAUCCUGAUCCUAAAUCAGUACUUCUGCUCUGAGAUGCUCGAUACAUACAGUACCUACAGAAAGUAUUCACGCAGCCUGAAUUUAAAAUGGAUUCAAUUGAGAUGUAUUGUUACUGUCCUAAACACAAUACCCCAUAAUGUCAAAGUGGAAUUAUGUUUUUAGACAUUUUUACAAAUUAAUUAAAAAUGAAAAGCUGAAAUGUCCUGAGUCAAUGACUAUUCAACCCCUUUGUUAUGGCAAGCCUAACUAUAUUCAAGAGUAAAAAUUUGCUUAACAAGUCACAUGGACUCACUCUGUGCGCAAUAAUAGUGUUUAAUUUGUUUUUUUGAAUGACUAUGACUUUUCUCUGUACCCCCCACACAACUAUCUAUCUGUAAGGUCCUUCAGUCAAGCAGUGAAUUUAAAACACAGAUUCAACCUCAAAUACCAGGGAGGUUAUUCAAUGCCUUGCAACGAACGCCACCUAUUAUUUUUUUUUUUAAAUCAGAUAUGAAAUAUCCCUUUGAGCAUGGUGAAGUUAUUAAUUACGCUUUGGAUGGUGUGUCAAUACACCCAGUCACUACAAAGAUGCAGGCGCCCUUCCUAUCUUAGUUGCCAGAGAGGAAGGAAUCAGCACAGGGAUUUCACCUUGAAAACAGUUAGAGUUUAAUGGCUGUGAUAGGAAGAAACUGAGGAUGGAUCAACAACAUUGUAGUUACUCCACAAUACCGACCUAAAUGACAGAGGGAAAAUAACAAAGCCUGUACAAAACAUGCAUCCUGUUUGCAACAUUGCACAAAAAGUAAAACUGCAAAAAAUGUGGCAAAGCAAAUAGCUUUGUCUUGAAUACAAAGUGCAAUGUUUGGAGCAAAUCCAAUACAUUACUGAGUAUCACUCCUUAUAUUUUCAAGCAUAGUGGUGGCCGUAUCAUUUUAUGGGUAUUCUUGUAAUCGUUAAGGACCUGGGAGUGUUUCAGGAUUUAAAAAAAGAAAUGAUCAGCCUUGUCAGCCUUGUCUCAGGAUGGUAAGUUGGUGGUUGAAGAUAUCCCGCUAGUGGUGUGGGGGCUGUGCUUUGGCAAAGUGGGUGGGGUUAUAUCCUUCCUGUUUGGCCCUGUCCGGGGGUGUCCUCGGAUGGGGCCACAGUGUCUCCUGACCCCUCCUGUCUCAGCCUCCAGUAUUUAUGCUGCAGUAGUUUAUGUGUCGGGGGGCUGGGGUCAGUUUGUUAUAUCUGGAGUACUUCUCCUGUCCUAUUCGGUGUCCUG
ensembl:lncRNA